AGAGUUUGAUCAUGGCUCAGAUUGAACGCUGGCGGCAGGCCUAACACAUGCAAGUCGAGCGGUAGCACAGAGAGCUUGCUCUCGGGUGACGAGCGGCGGACGGGUGAGUAAUGUCUGGGAAACUGCCUGAUGGAGGGGGAUAACUACUGGAAACGGUAGCUAAUACCGCAUAACGUCGCAAGACCAAAGUGGGGGACCUUCAGGCCUCAUGCCAUCAGAUGUGCCCAGAUGGGAUUAGCUAGUAGGUGGGGUAACGGCUCACCUAGGCGACGAUCCCUAGCUGGUCUGAGAGGAUGACCAGCCACACUGGAACUGAGACACGGUCCAGACUCCUACGGGAGGCAGCAGUGGGGAAUAUUGCACAAUGGGCGCAAGCCUGAUGCAGCCAUGCCGCGUGUAUGAAGAAGGCCUUCGGGUUGUAAAGUACUUUCAGCGGGGAGGAAGGCGAUAAGGUUAAUAACCUUGUCGAUUGACGUUACCCGCAGAAGAAGCACCGGCUAACUCCGUGCCAGCAGCCGCGGUAAUACGGAGGGUGCAAGCGUUAAUCGGAAUUACUGGGCGUAAAGCGCACGCAGGCGGUCUGUCAAGUCGGAUGUGAAAUCCCCGGGCUCAACCUGGGAACUGCAUUCGAAACUGGCAGGCUAGAGUCUUGUAGAGGGGGGUAGAAUUCCAGGUGUAGCGGUGAAAUGCGUAGAGAUCUGGAGGAAUACCGGUGGCGAAGGCGGCCCCCUGGACAAAGACUGACGCUCAGGUGCGAAAGCGUGGGGAGCAAACAGGAUUAGAUACCCUGGUAGUCCACGCCGUAAACGAUGUCGAUUUGGAGGUUGUGCCCUUGAGGCGUGGCUUCCGGAGCUAACGCGUUAAAUCGACCGCCUGGGGAGUACGGCCGCAAGGUUAAAACUCAAAUGAAUUGACGGGGGCCCGCACAAGCGGUGGAGCAUGUGGUUUAAUUCGAUGCAACGCGAAGAACCUUACCUGGUCUUGACAUCCACAGAACUUNNNNNNNNNNNNNNNNNNNNNNNNNNNNNGUCGUAGUCCGGAUUGGAGUCUGCAACUCGACUCCAUGAAGUCGGAAUCGCUAGUAAUCGUAGAUCAGAAUGCUACGGUGAAUACGUUCCCGGGCCUUGUACACACCGCCCGUCACACCAUGGGAGUGGGUUGCAAAAGAAGUAGGUAGCUUAACCUUCGGGAGGGCGCUUACCACUUUGUGAUUCAUGACUGGGGUGAAGUCGUAACAAGGUAACCGUAGGGGAACCUGCGGUUGGAUCACCU
rnacentral:rRNA from 1 species